UGGGGAAUAUUGCACAAUGGGCGCAAGCCUGAUGCAGCCAUGCCGCGUGUAUGAAGAAGGCCUUCGGGUUGUAAAGUACUUUCAGCGGGGAGGAAGGGAGUAAAGUUAAUACCUUUGCUCAUUGACGUUACCCGCAGAAGAAGCACCGGCUAACUCCGCGCCAGCAGCCGCGGUAAUACGGAGGGUGCAAGCGUUAAUCGGAAUUACUGGGCGUAAAGCGCACGCAGGCGGUUUAUUAAGUCAGAUGUGAAAUCCCCGGGCUCAACCUGGGAACUGCAUCUGAUACUGGCAAGCUUGAGUCUCGUAGAGGGGGGUAGAAUUCCAGGUGUAGCGGUGAAAUGCGUAGAGAUCUGGAGGAAUACCGGUGGCGAAGGCGGCCCCCUGGACGAAGACUGACGCUCAGGUGCGAAAGCGUGGGGAGCAAACAGG
rnacentral:rRNA from 1 species